AGUCGCCGCGGGAAUACAGAGGGUGCGAGCGUUAAUCGGAUUUACUGGGCGUAAAGCGUGCGUAGGCGGCUUUUUAAGUCGGAUGUGAAAUCCCUGAGCUUAACUUAGGAAUUGCAUUCGAUACUGGGAAGCUAGAGUAUGGGAGAGGAUGGUAGAAUUCCAGGUGUAGCGGUGAAAUGCGUAGAGAUCUGGAGGAAUACCGAUGGCGAAGGCAGCCAUCUGGCCUAAUACUGACGCUGAGGUACGAAAGCAUGGGGAGCAAACAGGAUUAGAUACCCCCGUAGUCCCUGUCUCUUAUACA
rnacentral:rRNA from 1 species